rnacentral:ncRNA from 1 species
UCAAUUUUAUAGGAGAAAGGAGGGAGCAUUAGCAUUUUGCUCCCGUUCGGGAAGCUGGUGAAAAUCCAGCACGGUCCCGCCACUGUAAAGGGAGAAGUUUCUUCCCUGAGUCAGAUACCGGCCUUUCUUAACGACACCGC